rnacentral:rRNA from 1 species
ACGGGAGACCGCCGGGGUCAACUCGGAGGAAGGUGGGGACGACGUCAAGUCAUCAUGCCCCUUAUGUCUUGGGCUGCACACGUGCUACAAUGGCCGGUACAAAGAGCUGCGAUACCGUGAGGUGGAGCGAAUCUCAAAAAGCCGGUCUCAGUUCGGAUUGGGGUCUGCAACUCGACCCCAUGAAGUCGGAGUCGCUAGUAAUCGCAGAUCAGCAUUGCUGCGGUGAAUACGUUCCCGGGCCUUGUACACACCGCCCGUCACGUCACGAAAGUUGGUAACACCCGAAGCCGGUGGCCCAACCCCUUGUGGGAGGGAGCUGUCGAAGGUGGGACUGGCGAUUGGGACGAAGUCGUAACAA